rnacentral:rRNA from 1 species
CUACGGGGGGCUGCAGUGAGGAAUAUUGGUCAAUGGGCGAAAGCCUGAACCAGCCAUGCCGCGUGAAGGAUGACGGCCCUAUGGGUUGUAAACUUCUUUUAUACGGGAAGAAACACCUCUACGUGUAGAGGUUUGACGGUACCGUACGAAUAAGCAUCGGCUAACUCCGUGCCAGCAGCCGCGGUAAUACGGAGGAUGCAAGCGUUAUCCGGAUUUAUUGGGUUUAAAGGGUACGUAGGCGGAAACUUAAGUCAGUAGUGAAAUCCCGCAGCUUAACUGUGGAACUGUUAUUGAUACUGGGUUUCUUGAAUAUUGUUGAGGUAGGCGGAAUAAGUAAUGUAGCGGUGAAAUGCUUAGAUAUUACUUAGAACACCGAUUGCGAAGGCAGCUUACUAAGCAAUUAUUGACGCUGAGGUACGAAAGCGUGGGGAGCGAACAGGAUUAGAUACCCCCGUAGUC